rnacentral:tRNA from 1 species
GCGCUGGGCUCGUUCGCCGGGGCGCGGGCGUCGGCGCUCGUGGCACCGACGGUGCUCAUGGUGUCGUUCGGGGUGAUGCUCAGCGUU